GGUCGAAUGGUGCAGUUGCUAGCACACGCAGAUUCAUUGAACCACUUCGUCAACUACUCGCUGCGUAACCCUUGUUCGAAUCAAGGUUCGGCCC